GGGAAACCGAGUCUGAACAGGGCGAAUUAGUAUCAUGACGUAGACCCGAAACCAUGUGACCUACCCAUGAGCAGGUUGAAGGUGCGGUAAGACGCACUGGAGGACCGAACCAGGGCACGUUGAAAAGUGCUUGGAUGACUUGUGGGUAGCGGAGAAAUUCCAAACGAACUUGGAGAUAGCUGGUUCUCUCCGAAAUAGCUUUAGGGCUAGCGUCGACAUUAAGAUUCUUGGAGGUAGAGCACUGUUUGGGUGAGGGGUCCAUCCCGGAUUACCAAUCUCAGAUAAACUCCGAAUGCCAAAGAAUUAUGGUCGGCAGUCAGACUGCGAGUGCUAAGAUCCGUAGUCGAAAGGGAAACAGCCCAGACCACCAGCUAAGGUCCCAAAAUAAUUGUUAAGUGGAAAAGGAUGUGGGGUUGCACAGACAACUAGGAUGUUAGCUUAGAAGCAGCUAUUCAUUCAAAGAGUGCGUAAUAGCUCACUAGUCGAGUGACCCUGCGCCGAAAAUGUACCGGGGCUAAAACAAUUUACCGAAGCUGUGGAUACCUUUAUAGGUAUGGUAGGAGAGCGUUCUAUGUGUGAAGAAGGUGUACCGUGAGGAGUGCUGGAACGCAUAGAAGUGAGAAUGCCGGUAUGAGUAGCGAAAGACAGGUGAGAAUCCUGUCCACCGUAAGACUAAGGUUUCCAGGGGAAGGCUCGUCCGCCCUGGGUUAGUCGGGACCUAAGGAGAGACCGAAAGGUGUAUCCGAUGGACAACAGGUUGAUAUUCCUGUACUAGAGUAUGUAGUGAUGGAGGGACGCAGUAGGCUAACUAAAGCAGACGAUUGGAAGNGUCUGUCUAAGCAGUGAGGUGUGAUAUGAGUCAAAUGCUUAUAUCUGUAACAUUGAGCUGUGAUGGGGAGCGAAGUUUAGUAGCGAAGUUAGUGACGUCACACUGCCAAGAAAAGCUUCUAGCGUUUAAACAUACUCUACCCGUACCGCAAACCGACACAGGUAGUCGAGGCGAGUAGCCUCAGGUGAGCGAGAGAACUCUCGUUAAGGAACUCGGCAAAAUGACCCCGUAACUUCGGGAGAAGGGGUGCUGACUUUAAGUCAGCCGCAGUGAAUAGGCCCAAGCAACUGUUUAUCAAAAACACAGCUCUCUGCUAAAUCGUAAGAUGAUGUAUAGGGGGUGACGCCUGCCCGGUGCUGGAAGGUUAAGAGGAGUGCUUAGCGUAAGCGAAGGUAUGAAUUGAAGCCCCAGUAAACGGCGGCCGUAACUAUAACGGUCCUAAGGUAGCGAAAUUCCUUGUCGGGUAAGUUCCGACCCGCACGAAAGGCGUAAUGAUUUGGGCACUGUCUCAACGAGAGACUCGGUGAAAUUUUAGUACCUGUGAAGAUGCAGGUUACCCGCGACAGGACGGAAAGACCCCAUGGAGCUUUACUGCAGUUUGAUAUUGAGUGUCUGUACCACAUGUACAGGAUAGGUAGGAGUCUAAGAGAUCGGGACGCCAGUUUCGAAGGAGACGUUGUUGGGAUACUACCCUUGUGUUAUGGCCACUCUAACCCGGAUAGGUGAUCCCUAUCGGAGACAGUGUCUGACGGGCAGUUUGACUGGGGCGGUCGCCUCCUAAAAGGUAACGGAGGCGCCCAAAGGUUCCCUCAGAAUGGUUGGAAAUCAUUCGCAGAGUGUAAAGGUAUAAGGGAGCUUGACUGCGAGAGCUACAACUCGAGCAGGGACGAAAGUCGGGCUUAGUGAUCCGGUGGUUCCGUAUGGAAGGGCCAUCGCUCAACGGAUAAAAGCUACCCUGGGGAUAACAGGCUUAUCUCCCCCAAGAGUUCACAUCGACGGGGAGGUUUGGCACCUCGAUGUCGGCUCGUCGCAUCCUGGGGCUGUAGUCGGUCCCAAGGGUUGGGCUGUUCGCCCAUUAAAGCGGCACGCGAGCUGGGUUCAGAACGUCGUGAGACAGUUCGGUCCCUAUCCGUCGCGGGCGUAGGAAAUUUGAGAGGAUCUGCUCCUAGUACGAGAGGACCAGAGUGGACUUACCGCUGGUGUACCAGUUGUCUUGCCAAAGGCAUCGCUGGGUAGCUAUGUAGGGAAGGGAUAAACGCUGAAAGCAUCUAAGUGUGAAACCCACCUCAAGAUGAGAUUUCCCAUGAUUUUAUAUCAGUAAGAGCCCUGAGAGAUGAUCAGGUAGAUAGGUUAGAAGUGGAAGUGUGGCGACACAUGUAGCGGACUAAUACUAAUAGCUCGAGGACUUAUCCAAA
rnacentral:rRNA from 1 species